rnacentral:ncRNA from 2 species
UAGCUGAAUAACGGUUAAGGUCCGUUUUAUGUCAAAUAAAACGUUAAAAGGGAAGCUGGUUCAAUCCCAGCACGGUCCCGCCACUGUAAUCGGUAGAGCUUCUUUUAUAUCCACUGUUCGUUAAAGAAUGGGAAGGAGAAGAUGUUCGAUGACCGAGAGUCAGGAGACCUGCCUUAGCCGCAUGUGCGAU